GACGAACGCUGGCGGCGUGCCUAAUACAUGCAAGUAGAACGCACAGUUUAUACCGUAGCUUGCUACACCAUAAACUGUGAGUUGCGAACGGGUGAGUAACGCGUAUGUAACCUGCCUUGUAGCGGGGGAUAACUAUUGGAAACGAUAGCUAAUACCGCAUAAUCUUGAUUAUUGCAUGAUAAUUGAUUGCAAGAUGCUAUUGCAUCACUACCAGCUGGACCUGCGUUGUAUUAGCUAGUAGGUGAGGUAACGGCUAACCUAGGCGACGAUACAUAGCCGACCUGAGAGGGAGAUCGGGCACACUGGGACUGAGAAACGGCCCAGACUCCUACGGGAGGCAGCAGGAGGGAAACUUCGGCAAUGGACGAAAGGCUGACCGAGCAACGCCGCGUGAGGGAAGAAGGGUGUCGGAUUGUAAAGCUCUGUUGUAAGAGAAGAACGGGUGUGAGAGUGGAAAGUUCACACUGUGACGGUAUCUUACCAGAAAGGGACGGCUAACUACGUG
rnacentral:rRNA from 1 species